UCUGCUGGAGAGAGUUCCAGUCGGAGGUAUUUUUAAGUUGAACCGCAACUUCCGGCAAGUGAGUAGUUAGCCAAAGGUGAUAGUGCUUAUGUUUGUUUUUGAAAUCUUCGUCGCUUUGUGAGUUUUUAGACAGAAACACCACCAGAAGAUCUUUUUUUUUUAAGGCGAAUAACAAGGUGCCCGCUUAAGUUAAUCAAACCUCGAGCUAAAGAGUGUCGGUUUGUUGACCAUCUCGCUAACGUUAGCAGACUAGCUAACCGGCUAGCUCACUCGGCUGACGCCUGGUACGCGGCGUCCGGAGACAGAAACCCCGAAGCUGGACGCUCAGUAUCGGACAAUAAAGCUGUAAAGCUUCGCCAGUCGGUAUUAGUAACGUUUGUCCUGUAGCCAUAACGGAGAAAAUACAUUUUUCAUGUGUGCACUGGGGCCGGUUUCGACAUUUUAAUGGGAGGCGGCUUGCUUUGGAGGAUUGGACAUUGCGGGCGCCAGUUGCGAAGAAAGCGGAGGUCCUGGCUACCUGUCGGGCUCAGAUGGAGUCUCUGGCCGGCUACGUGUACAAGGCAGCCAGCGAGGGCCGAGUCCUGACCCUGGCCGCGCUGCUGCUCAACCACUCGGAGGCGGAGACCCAGUAUCUGCUGAGCUAUGUGACCCAGCUCGCCGGGCAGAGGUCCACUCCUCUGAUCAUCGCAGCCCGGAACGGACACGACAAAGUGGUCCGGCUGCUCCUGGACCACUACAGAGUGGACACGGAACAGACCGGCACGGUUCGGUUUGACGGCUACGUCAUCGACGGGGCCACGGCGCUGUGGUGUGCGGCCGGAGCUGGGCACUUUGAGGUGGUGCGCCUGCUGGUGAGUCACCGUGCCAACGUUAACCACACCACAAUCACCAACUCCACCCCCUUGCGUGCCGCCUGUUUCGACGGGCGCCUGGACAUCGUCCACUACCUUGUGGAACACAAUGCAGACAUCAGCAUCACCAACAAGUACAACAACACCUGCCUGAUGAUCGCCGCCUAUAAGGGCCACACAGACGUAGUAAAGUUCCUGCUGGAGCAGGGGGCGGACCCCAACGCCAAGGCCCACUGCGGGGCCACCGCCCUGCACUUUGCAGCUGAGGCGGGCCAUCUGGAAAUUGUAAAAGAGUUGGUGCGCUGUAAGGCAGCCAUGGUGGUGAAUGGACACGGCAUGACGCCGCUGAAGGUCGCUGCAGAGAGCUGCAAAGCAGAUGUGGUGGAGCUGCUGCUGGCACACGCUGACUGUGACCCACGCAGCCGCAUCGAGGCCCUGGAGCUGCUGGGCGCCUCGUUCGCCAACGACCGAGAGAACUACGACAUCCAGAGGACGUACCAAUACCUGCACAUGGCCAUGAUGGAGCGCUACCGCGACCCCGAAAACAUCAUCGCCAAGGAGCUGCUGCCGCCCAUCGAGGCCUACGGGGGGCGUUGUGAGUGCCGGACACCCCAAGAACUAGAGGCCAUCCGGGUGGACCGGGACGCUCUGCACAUGGAGGGGCUGAUGAUUCGGGAGCGUAUCCUGGGUUCGGACAAUAUUGACGUGUCGCACCCCAUCAUCUAUCGCGGCGCAGUCUACGCUGAUAACAUGGAGUUUGAACAGUGCAUCAGACUGUGGCUCCACGCGCUUCGUCUGCGACAGAAAGGCAACCGGAACACGCACAAGGACCUGCUGCGCUUCGCCCAGGUGUUCUCCCAGAUGGUCCACCUGAAGGAGCAGGUUUUGGCCUCUGCUGUCGAGCAGGUGUUGAGCUGCAGCGUGGUGGAGAUUCAGCGAAGCAUGGCUCGAGUGGAGACGGCGGCUGAAUCUGAGCUGCCGCAAGCCUUGGACAGUUACGAGUCAAAUGUUUUUACCUUCCUGUACCUCGCCUGCAUCUCCACCAAGACCACCUGUGGCGACGAGGAGCGCGCCCGCAUCAACAAGCACAUCUACAACCUGAUCCAGCUGGACCCGCGGUCGCGUGAGGGCUCCUCUCUGCUCCACCUGGCCAUCAGCUCCACCACACCGGUCGACGACUUCCACACCAACGACGUCUGCAGCUUCCCCAGCGCGCAGGUCACCAAGCUGCUGCUGGACUGCGGCGCGCAGGUCAACGCCGUCGACCAUGAAGGCAACACCCCGCUGCACGUCAUCGUCCAGUACAACCGGCCCAUCAGCGACUUCCUCACGCUGCACGCCAUCAUCAUCAACCUGGUGGAGGCCGGCGCCCACACGGACAUGACCAACAAGCAGAAGAAGACUCCUCUGGACAAGAGCACCACCGGCGUGUCGGAGAUCCUGCUGAAGACGCAGAUGAAGAUGAGCCUCAAGUGCCUGGCAGCGCGUGCUGUCCGGCAGCACCAGAUCACCUACCGCAACCAGAUCCCCAAAACGCUGGAGGAGUUUGUGGAGUUCCACUGAAACGGACCUGAGAGCUGAAGGAUCGACACGAACCGAGGACAGACUCUUUGUUCUUUUUAAAGAAUUUCUUAUAAUUUUCUAACAAAUCGGUGCUGAGGAUGAUGGUUCAGUACUAAAUGUUUUUGAGCAUUUUUAUAUAAAAAAAAAAAAAGGGGUUGCUUUUUUUCUAUUUUAAGUAUUAAUUGCUAAGUACCAGCAGCCAUAGACGGCAGUCUGUCUGUCUGUAUCUCUGGGGCUGACGAGCAGAUUGAGACAUCAGAGGAAACUUCCAGAUGACUGCAGCAGGUUUGUGCUGCGACAGCCGAGAGAGGACAGCAGCAACGUUGCUGCGCUGCUUCUUGUUUUGCCUUAUCUCCAUCCCGGGGAGCCGUCAUGUACGCCACGUUACUGUGAUUCCACAGUCCGAGUGAAUGAGUGUGAAGGAGAGAUGAUCAGGAAAAAGCUAGAGAGACAGAAUGAAUGAAUGAAGUGUCUGUAGAGAAGCCAACGGGCAGGCCGACCUCGCCUGCUUUCCAAGCAUUCACCCCACAGAUCAGCGUCACACACAUCAUUAUGUUUUAAUAUGAAAAAUAGUUUCCACUGGGUUUAGUUUUUACUGUAACAGCAACAACAACAACUGACCGCUGAGAGAAGACAAACGAUCGGACUGCUGGACAGAAUUUAUACUAACAAAGUUUUUAGUUCGUUGUAAGUUUAUUUUAAAGGGUUUGCUGGUAACAAGUAUUUGUGAAAAUAUUUUUUCUCUUGGCCUGUUUCACUGAAUCUGCACUAUAUGGCGCAAAGUAUGCGGACACCCCUUUCCACAUACCUGUGUUUUUGGUCUCUGACUUUCCUGAUUUCUUCCCCUUAGUUCUGAUGAAGGGAAAUCUUAAUGCCCCAGCAUACAAUGAUAUUUUAGAUCACUGGUUCCAAACCUUUUCGGCUUGUGUCCCCUUAAAGCGAAGCAAUAUCUUGGUGAGACCUCUCGUCGCAGGUGUCUAUGAUUCAAGACCGGUUAGUUAAAAAACUGACUCUUCCCCUGUCAAACUGUUUGAUUUGAAAAUGUUUAGAGGGCCGAAAUGGUAAAACUAUCUAGUACUUCACAAGAAAGGGGGAAUUAUUAAAGAAUAGUUAGAAAGAUAAAUAUACUUUUGUUUAAUGUUUUUAAUUCUCUCCUGUCCUGUUAACCAUCUUGUGGCCCCUCAGAUUUAUUUAUUUAGCAGUUAACAGUUUUAGACAAUAAAUACAAUGUAUAAAAUACAGUGUCACAAAAGCCAAAAUGGUCUGUUUUGGGCGUUUUGGAGAUGCAUGGAUUUCACAGGACGGAGUGGUGGCUGUUAUAGCAGCACAAUGAUGUCUAUGGUGUCCCAAUCACAUGUUCAACAACACAUCUGUGUGUAAAGUUCUGGUGUCCACAUACUUUUGGCCAUGUAAUGUACUUUUCCUAGUUGUUAAAAAGUCCCUGAAGUCCCUGAACGUGGUACCGUUUGAUUGACACUCUGUAGAUGCUCGCACAUGAGCUUUUAUUUUGAAACCUGUAUCUGAGGACAAAAGCACAGAAGCUGUGAAAUGUUCUCCCAGAGGGAAAUCCACAUUUGAAGUGAAAAUUUCUUUCUUUUUUUUAAUAAACAGUGAAGUCUUGGACGUGGAGGACCUGUCGCCUGGUUUACAUUUUUGCCACAGUGCUGCAGCUUUAGCUUGUGGAUCCAAAGGGACUCGAUCGGCUCCGAUCACAUGGUCGUAUCGGUGCACCUCGGCUCUCCACAGCGGGAACAUCUGAAUCGGUUUGUUUUGGAGGUUUUCGCUGCAGCAGCUCGGCCACGGAGGAUGAAUUCAUCAGUGAAAUGAGCCGCUGCUGCGAUUAGACUGAAGAUAAACUUCAUCGCUGUCAUUUCCCAUGCACGCCGCUCAGUCUAGGAAAAAAAAAAAAAACUUUCCCCAAAGCAUUUUCUGUCAGUCUCCAGAAACACACUUGGUCUUACGUCUUUAUUUUCUUGUUGGUAUAUUUUUUUGAAGCUACAGGAUGUCUGAGCCUCGCAAAGCCAGACUGUCCUGUGAGCUGGAAAACAUACACAAAGGAUCACUCGGCAACCUGCAGGGACAGCGUGGCUCUUAAAAACGUUCAAACUUUGCAAACACCUAUUUAAGCUGUUUGCUGUAGCUGAAAAAUGAAUCACGACUCUGCAGCUGUAGGGCUCGUUUCUCACCUCAGUUUUCUUUAGACGCCGGAGUUAUCAUCUUAUAAUCAGGUGGAGGAAACGCUCAAAUGAAAUGGCGUUGCAAGGCAAAGGAUGCCAUUGGGGGGGGUUUAUUUGUUUGUAUUUGUUGUCAGGGUUUGAUUUUCUGAACAAAAGCAUGUGAAUGCAACACUGCCAUUCAGAGUGCUACUUUUAUCUUUAUCAGAGUUUUUAUUUAACGCUGCAGGAGCAUGUUUCUGUCCUGACGGAUGACUUUCUGUGGCUGAAGUGAAGCCAAAGAUUCUCUUCAUGUGUAGGGAAACUUUAAAAGAUGUCAGCUGUGGUGUACUUCCUGCAGAAUGAAUUCUGUCAAAUUAAAAGUCUUCUGUCUGCA